GCGCAGCAGUCGAGAAACUUUACAAUGUGCGAAAGCACGAUAAGGGAACUCUGAGUGCCACCUAAGGAGGCUGUUCAGGUGUCUAAAAGCACCUGAAGGAAGGGCUGGGUAAGACCGGUGCCAGCCGCCGCGGUAACACCGGCAGCCCAAGUGGUAGCCACGUUUAUUGGGUCUAAAGCGUCCGUAGCCGGCUGGGUAAGUUCCUUGGGAAAUUUGGCUGCUUAACAGUCAAGCUUUCAGGGAAUACUGCCCGGCUUGGGACCGGGAGAGGUCAGAGGUACUCCAGGGGGUAGGGGUGAAAUUCAUUAAUCCUUGGGGGACCACCGGUAGCGAAGGCGUCUGACCAGACCGGGUCCGACGGUGAGGGACGAAGGCUAGGGGCGCG
rnacentral:rRNA from 1 species